rnacentral:rRNA from 1 species
CUUGCUGGGUGGAUUAGUGGCGAACGGGUGAGUAACACGUGAGUAACCUGCCCUUAACUCUGGGAUAAGCCUGGGAAACUGGGUCUAAUACCGGAUAGGAGCGUCCACCGCAUGGUGGGUGUUGGAAAGAUUUAUCGGUUUUGGAUGGACUCGCGGCCUAUCAGCUUGUUGGUGAGGUAAUGGCUCACCAAGGCGACGACGGGUAGCCGGCCUGAGAGGGUGACCGGCCACACUGGGACUGAGACACGGCCCAGACUCCUACGGGAGGCAGCAGUGGGGAAUAUUGCACAAUGGGCGCAAGCCUGAUGCAGCGACGCCGCGUGAGGGAUGACGGCCUUCGGGUUGUAAACCUCUUUCAGUAGGGAAGAAGCGAAAGUGACGGUACCUGCAGAAGAAGCACCGGCUAACUACGUGCCAGCAGCCGCGGUAAUACGUAGGGUGCGAGCGUUAUCCGGAAUUAUUGGGCGUAAAGAGCUCGUAGGCGGUUUGUCGCGUCUGUCGUGAAAGUCCGGGGCUUAACCCCGGAUCUGCGGUGGGUACGGGCAGACUAGAGUGCAGUAGGGGAGACUGGAAUUCCUGGUGUAGCGGUGGAAUGCGCAGAU